GUGUGUGUGUGUGUGUGUGUGUGUGUGUGUGUGUGUAAGAAGUGAUUCUGCAUACGAUAUUAAAAAGGAACGGCAAAUUAUGCACUCAAAAAAUGGUUUUGCAGCACUGUUUGUUUUACCCAAAUAUGUUUUGUUAAAAUAACACACAUACAUUUCAUUCCCCAUCAAAACACUAUUGUAUUGCGUUUAAUCAACUUAAAAUGUGUCAUGUUCCACUAUGCUUAAUAAUCAGUCGUUAAACUAACGUAAAGCGUUUAAUUUCGCGAUUCAAAAAACCGGAAGUGACGAUUUCCAACGUAUUGGAUGGAGACGGCGCGAAAGAGGGAAGAUGGUGAAUGGUGUCAGACGAGGUUUUUGGAAAGCACUUUGAAACGACUGAUGACAUCGAAGUGAGGAGAGUGUGUAUAAUCGAAGCUCUUUGUGCCUACCUAAAUGAAGAACCUACCAGACUGUUUCAGGAGUGUUUUGAUACAGACAAUGCCACUGCAGAGGAGGCGAUCCAGGAUAUAUGGCAUUUAAUAAUUGUUAGACAUCGUUACACUACCAUCUGGACAUUUUGGUUGCAUGUUUGAUUUCUUUCUUUUUUUUUUUUUUACUUCUUGUAAAUGUAUUUUAUUUAAUUGUAGUUAUCUUAUUAGCCGAGUUUUAAUUUUCACCUUCUGACUUUGUUUUUGAAUCAAAAGACUGCAAAGUUAUUUUAGAUAAUCUUAUAUUUUGCAUGAGAAUUUUGCACAUGUUCAAAGACUCUUUAAUAUAUUGACUGAGCAGGCUGUUUAAAACACUGUUUAUUGCAAGUUUGGCAAAUACAGCUUCAUAAAUUGUUA